rnacentral:lncRNA from 1 species
UGCCGGAAGAAGUGGACGGGUUUAGGAGAUUGUUUGCUUGGCAUGUAUCGCGGGAGGAAGCUGGAUGAAGAUCAAUCCGGAACAUAGAUUGGUUCGGAAGAAGAUGAUACUCUGUUUCAGAGUAUGGGAGGAUGCAUUUGGAUCCCGUGAAGCUCGGGAGGAUGAAGCCGAAUCGUGGAGAAAGCUGGGAAUCUGAUCCGGAAGAUGCUGGGAUUUUUAUGGAUCAUGCGGUCCUAUUCCGAAGCAGGGGAAGAAAAAUGACGUGGAAGAUGAAUUUGAUUUGCGGUUGGCUGGGGCAAACGGCUCUGUUCCUUGGUCAUGGGAUGAAGAUGAAGCUGAUCACAGAAAAAAUGGGAUCCGGGGUCAAACGUGGACGCGGCUGAAUGCUGUCGUGGGAUACUGGAAUCAUUCCGCGAACGGGAUGAAAGGGAGAUGAAGAUGAGUUGGUUGUUGAGAUACUCGGAUGCUGGCGUUUGAGAGGAAGAAUGAUACGGUUGCUUUGAACCGUGAGCUGGGAUCAAUUCAAAUGCUGGGAUCCGGGGAUGAGCGUGUGAUUUCGAACGUGAGAUCGUUCCGAGAGAAGGAUCUCAUGCGGAUGGUAGCUGUUAAUAGGAUCGCUGUGAACUCGGAAAGAUGAAAUGGAUGUGGAGUUCGGGAGGAUGAGGUGGAUGUUGGGAGAUUAGUUGAG